rnacentral:rRNA from 1 species
CGAUUAGAGUUGAUCCUGGCUCAGAACGAACGCUGGCGGCGUACUUAACACAUGCAAGUCGCACGAGAAAGGGGCUUCGGCCCCUGAGUACAGUGGCGCACGGGUGCGUAACACGUAAGUAAUCUACCCCGAACACUGGGAUAACUCCCCGAAAGGGGGGCUAAUACUGGAUAGGGUCCCCGAGGUCUAAGCUGCGGGGGGAAAGCGGGCCUCUGUUUCAUGCUCGCGGUUCAGGAUGAGCUUGCGGCCCAUUAGCUAGUUGGUAGGGUAAUGGCCUACCAAGGCGACGAUGGGUAGCUGGUCUGAGAGGAUGAUCAGCCACACUGGCACUGAGACACGGGCCAGACUCCUACGGGAGGCAGCAGUGGGGAAUUUUGCGCAAUGGGCGAAAGCCUGACGCAGUAACGCCGCGUGGAGGAUGAAGGCCUUCGGGUUGUAAACUCCUGUCAGGAGGAACGACGGAGAGGGGGUGAUAAGCCCUCUCUUCCAGACGGUACCUCCAAAGGAAGCCCCGGCUAAUUCC